AUUUUUUUUUGUAAAGAUGGGAUCUUGCUAUAUUGCCCAGGCUGAUCUUGAACUCCUGGCCUCAAGCCAUCCUCCCUGAGAUUCCAGAUUUGAGCCACUGUGGCCACCCUGCUCCGCCCUUCCGUGAUGCACCUCCUUGGUAAGGUUGGACUCACCAUCUCUGCUGCAAGGUGAGCCCACUCAGCAGGAGGAUGGUGAACAGCAGGAGGACACAGCCGGCCACUGUCAACAGAGAGGUCGGUCAGCAAAGGGGCCCUGGGGGUGACGUUGGGGCAGCAGGAGCCGGGGCCCCAGGGCAGGUAGAGACUGUCCCCAAGGGGGACGGGCAUUGUCUACUCCCCUUCUCAGAACAGGUCCCUCCCCAGAGGGUUUCUAGGAGGGCAGGGCAGGCGCUUCAGAGAGGUUCACAGGCCGGGCCUCAUUUAAGGAGGCCGAGAGCAAGGCCGGCGCCUGGGGGAAGAAGUGUUGAAACAUGGAGAUAGACAAUAAACACAUUAGCGUCUCUGGGAAGUGUUCAUGGUUUCUAGAUGCUGCCUGGCUGGGGUCCGGGGGCAGCUGUUUGUCUGUGUGUUCAGGCACAGGCAGCCUCAAAGCCUCCCCACCAGGAGACAGCCCAGUGUUUCUAGAAGCCUGUCCUCUGUCCGCCUGGCUACACGGUCCCCCCCCUCCGGAGAGAGGCAGUGGGGUGCUGGCCCUCUGGACCGGCUCGGGAGGAGCAGGUGGGGCUGGCCCGGCCUCCCUGUAACUGACCCGGGGGCUGGGGCGUGUGAGCGCCUGGAUUAGUCUCUGGGACUUGUCAACAUUCUGCAGGGUGACACGGGGUCCUUCCAACCAACCAGCCAGCCACCCUGCCCACGUCUCAGCACAGUGUGCAUUUUGUCCACAGGGAAAGCACCCACCUGCCACCUGGUACUGUGUCGUAAAUGUGAAUGUCCCCGUGGUCGCGGCGGCUUCCGUGCGCUCCUGAUAAUCUGGGCAAGGGAGAGGGGAGGCGCUCGGCUACCGUCACUGCGGGGCAGGAGGUGGCGGGAGCCAGGGCUUCUCCCCGGAUUGGGAGCUCGGAGGCUGGGGGGAGGAAGGGAGGCAGGUGUUCCCCCCCUCCGCCUGGAGACCCUCCUGGGUCCUGUGUUUCCUCUUUGGGGCGUGCAGGUCGCUGAGACCCUGUCCCUGCUCUGGAGGAGGGGGCUGCUGGGGGGCUUCCCCUCCCCGCACUGCGGCCACCUCUGCCCGUUGGCCCAGAGCUGCCUCUGGUGACUAUCGGGCAUCGGCGGCUGAGCUCCCGUACCUGUCGUUGUGAAGGGACAGGAUGUCUCCCUCCUAGGAAGGUCACUGGGGCUUGCCUGAGACGGCUCUUCACCUGGAGGGGAGAGUAAGUGAUGCUUGAGAGCUAAAGACAGGAGACAGAGCCUCACCCCUGCCCACCUGCCCUUGGCAGCGGCCCCGCAGCACUUGCUGAGGCCGAGGCACCACCCUGUUGUGGGCACAUCUCUGGGGACGCCACAUCACCCGGUUCCACCCCAGGGCCCCUGGGAAGUGCUGAAGUGACCUCAGCAGGGCGGGUGAGAGGGAAUCUAACCCCGAUCCUGGCUGUCCGUGCAACUCUGAGCAACGCUUGCUCCGCGGGCUUCCUACUCAGCCCUGCAACUCGGAGACGGGCCACAGCCACACAGAGGGAGUAGAGACACACAGAGGGACGGCUUCUCGGGGCCACAGGCUCCCCUCCGACCCUGCUCCACCCGGCCCCGAAAGCCUGUGACCAGGGAGUGCCAGGGUGCCCCGGCCGUGGGGUGCGCUGGCUGUUGGGGUGGCCUGAGGUAGGAGGAGUGAGGGACAGCAGAGGCGUCCCAGAGAGGAACACACGGGCAUGAGGAAUGCGGGUGAGCAAGGAACCAGGAACACUCCCUGGCUGACGCAAGGAACUUUCCAUUGUGGAAAUACCACUAAGAUUUCAGAGUGAAGGCAGCACCUCGGUGUAGGUGGCUGCGUGUGCAUGUGCGUGUGCGUGUGUGUGUGUGUGUGUGUGUGUGUGUGCGCGUGCGUGCACAUGCAUGUGCUCUUGAAUAAGUCCCUUCUCUGCACUUUUGCACUUAGGUCCAAGUUCAGACGGAGAGUUACACGGGGGAAGGAGCAGGGAGCGUUGCACAAUCGUGGCUAUACACGGCCACCCGCAGAGGGAAGAAACGCGUGGGUGGAUGCCGGACUUUCCCUUCGAACCAGGGCAGUCCCAGGGCAGUCUCGGUGGCGCGGGGAAGAGGUGGAGUCUCAGGACUCAGCCGGGAGAGGCAGCACGUGGGGUCCUGCGGAGCCCUGGGGAGGCCCUUCCUCCUCCUCCACCUCCAGCCCCCUCCCCCCACCCAGGGUACAGGAGGACCUCAGUUGUGGGGGCCCCAGAGUCAUCUGGUCUAUUGUUUUUAGCAUGAGAAAAAAAUGGAGGCCCAGGGAGAAGGAGUGGUUCGUCCAGGGUCACGUAGCAGGCGGGGCUGCCCUACCUGGAAGCGGACUGGGCUCCGUUUCAUCCAUGCACGUGAGCCCAGGCCGGGUCCACCUCGUCUUCCCGCCUGUCAUCUCACAGACGCUCCGGGCAGGGCCUCUCUGCAGAGCCCUGUACCCCUGGACGCACUGGUAGUGAACCGUCUGCCCCACCACGAAGAGGUACAUUCUCCUUGCAGCCUCAUGUUCCCACCGCGGAGGCUCCGUGCAGUGACCUAGGAGAGGGGAAGAGAAUUCCGGAGGCCGGCUGGAGAGGCCUCGCGCCAGUCCAGCCUGCCUCUUGCUAGAGCCUGGACCUCGGUUCUUAUCCUUUUGCGAAUUCAUUCUUUCAAUCAGCCAGCACGAGCGGGGGAUGUCUGUGUGCCAGGAACUCGGCUAGGCCCUGUAUGGAGGCACAAAGACCCGUCCCUCCUGCAGGCGGGGGGACAGUCGAUUAGGCGAGGAAGAUACGUGUCGCUGAGGAGCAGACGCUUGCAGGGGCGCACAGGGCUGGCCCCUGAGGACAGCGAGGUUUGGAUAAGUGGACGGAGGUGGGAAGGGUGGUCUUGGCUGAGGCAUUAGGACAGGCUCACGCCAAUCUGUGCCAGUGAAGCGUGAAGGUCACCUUGGAUCUCCACUGGAGAGGUGAGGGGCACAUUCUCUGGUGGCAGCUGGUGGCCAACUGGGGGCCAUGGCAGGAGGAUGGGGCAAGGGGCAGGGGAGAAGCCACAGGAGGGGCGGGAAGGGCUGAGGGUAUCUCAGAGAAACGGAGCGUGAUCUGCAGCUUGUCCCCACGAGCUCUGCCAAGACCUCUAAAGAUUUCCCAAGCCCAGUAACUUUCCGCUUGCCCGAGUGCAGCCCACGCCCGAUGGACUUCUGACCUCCGAGAUCGUGUCCUGUUCUGAUCCAACCUCAGAGUCCCCCACGCAGCCUGGACACAGAACGAACUGCUGUGUGACACCCAAACUAGCCAUAACUGUCUGGACCUGUCUGAAUGGGGUUUGCGUCUUUCAAAUGAAAACACCGGACUGAGACAGGCUGUGAGGCAGCCUCAGCCGGAACCCGCCGGCGACCUCCUGGGUCAGGACAACACACGCUGUUCUCUCGGAAACCUUCCGACAGUGGUGGAGGGCAGUGGAGAAAGUAGAACAAAACGAGCCACGACAUGGGUUUGGAAACACCGUUCUAGGACAGAGCUGGAGCCAAAGGGGCGAAAACAUCCUGUUGCAGUAAUGCCCCUGGAGCGGCUUUAAGAAAUGUAAUGGAAGCUGUGGAUCAGUGUAAGCCAGUCUGAAAUAAGUUAUCAGUAGAAAGAUGCCCCUCGACUCCAGGAGAUCAAGGUCUGAUCUCAUCCUAUCGUAGGAGCUUGGCCGUCUUUCAGCUUCACUCCUCGCUGCCUGGCCCUGUCGCUGGUGAGGCUCAGAGAUGGAAGGUGAAGAUUAGAACAACUCAGAGAGCACAGAAAGCGCCUAGACGGCGAGUGACUACGCUUUACAGAGGACGGAGCAGUGUCUCGGGGCCGCGGGUCACCUGGUGAGGAAAUGGUCUGGUUCUUGCCCUGCGGCGGUUCCUCUUCUGUGUCAGAUCCAACAGGAACUCCACGGACAUGCCUAAUGUCACAAGUUGUCCCCUCCCUCCUUGGGAAACCCACACCAGCUGUUUGGGCCCUACAGAAGGUGAGUGUUUUUGGUGCAAAAGAAAACACCAUAGGACACGUUGACUAUUCCUUUCAAUAGUAUCAUAGACUCUGAGAACUGGAAGAGACCUCCACGACCCUGUAGAUCAACCUCCACGUUUUACAGAUAAGGAAACUGAGGCUGGGAUUAUUCCACGAGUUCACAGUGAGUCUUGGACUCGAGCCAGGUCCUCUGCCUCCCAGUUCUGUUUUUACAUCUCACAGAAUCAUAAUCUUCAGGAGAGACUGUGCUUUUCACCCAUCCCUUGAAGGUUCUCGCUCACCGAGAGGCAGAGCUGUGUCUAAACUAUCCGGGUGAUGGAAGGUGUUGUGUGAUGUUGUGGUUUGGUUCAGAUGAUUAUCUUUGAAGAAGUCAGAGCGCUCAGGCCCUCGUCGGGGGUUAUUUGUGUAAUAAUAACAACGAUGUCUGAGACCUGCCUGCGUGCUGCUGCUUGGUGUAUAUCACCUUCAGUGACAGCUCUGAAAGGUAGAUAUUGUCACCCCUGCUUUACACAGCAAGAGACUGUGGUUCAGAGAGUUUAGGUAAGUUGUCCAAACCACACAGCUCCGGGCAGUAGGACAGGAGUUACAUGAAAGCCUACUAUUGCUGCCCUCCCUUCUGCCUUUUUAAAAGAUCUCACUUUUACUUUCAGGAAACUCUUUCAAAGACCAAACCUAAACAUGCAGGAAGAAGCAAGGAAGAAGAGGACAGAAGUGUGAGAAGUGUGUAGAAAAGAUGUGGACAUUGAGGCAGAGAGUGAUUUGUUAGGUUGCCUGAGAUCACUUAUCCAGGGCACACAGCUGGGGGACCCACAGUCCCGGAGCUGGGAUUCUCUCCCCGGCAGCCUGGCUUCGGAGCUCUUGGGGAAGACGAUGUUACAAAGAAAACGGAGGUACGACUACAGAUACAGUAGAAACCUAAAAGAGAACAACAGGCUACUAUGAAAAUGUUUGGACAAAUUUGAAAUGGGAAACUGUAAAACUAUAGAUGGAUAGGUAAAAAACUAGAUUCAAGAAGAACAAAUUGAUUCAAGAAGAAGAAUAGAACUUUAACCAUUAAAGAAAUUAAAUCAAUAAUUUAAAGAAAUCAACCCACAAAAGAACACAAAGUUUUACCGAAACACCAUCUAUUUUAUACAAACUAUUUCAGAGAAUAAUAAAAAAAAAAAGGGGCAAAUCUUCCUGAUUCCUUGUAUGGGGUUAGUUUCAUCUUUCUAUUGAACCUGUGCUGGACUGUAGAAAAAGGAAUUUUAUAUGGCAGUCUCACCUAUGAAAAUAGAUGUAAGAAUCCUGAAUAAAAUGUUUGCACCAGAUUCUAGCAAUGUGUUAAGAAAAAAACCCAUUCUGACCAAUUAGAAUUUAUCCCAGCAAUAACAAAUGGUUUAACAUUAGACAGUAUCUUGAUGUAAUUCACUACUUUUACUGUUUAAAGAGGGGGGAGGGAAUCAUAUGAUCAUUUUAAUAGAAGAAAAAGAAUAUCCAAUGAUGAUUAAAAUAAUACCCAUUAAUGACUAAAAGAAAAAAAAACUUUAAAGAUAGUAAAAAUAGCAAUGAACACCCUUAAUGAUUAAAAGGUAGACACUGAAAACUUACAGCAAACAACACUUACAGGAUACCUUAAAAGCCUUCUAUUUAAUGGCAGAAGUAUAUACGAUCCCUACUUUUAUUCAACACCAUAUUGAGCAUCCUAGUUAAUGCAAUGAAACAAGUAAAAGAAAUAAGAGGAAGAAGGAAUGGAUAAGAAGAAAUGAAAAUGUCAUUUGUAAAUAACGAUGUGUACUUAGAAAACCUAGGAAUCUACAAACAAUUAUCCAAAGGCUUGUUAUCCAUCAUACAUAAAGAACUCAUACCAGUCAAUAAGUAAAAAGCAAAAAACCCCAUAGAAAAACAGAAACAAAGGACAUGAACAAGCAGGCCACAGAGACCAAUAAACAGGUGGAAGCAUGCCCAAUAUCCCCUGUACUCACUGAAACUUAAGAUAGUAAUGAUACUUCAUUUCAUUUCAUCAGAUUGGCAAGGAUGUCAAGAUUUCUCGAUGCUAAGCGAUGGUGAGGAAUUUGGGAAAUCUCAUAAAUUGCUGAUGAAGGGUGUAAAUUAGCAUAGCUACUUCAAAGAGAAAUUGAAAAAUAUUGCAGUAAAAUUGAAGCUGUCUCUGUUCUAGGAUCAGCAAUGAAAUCUCAUAAAUUGCUGAUGAAGGGUGUAAAUUAGCAUAGCUACUUCAAAGAGAAAUCGAAAAAUAUUGCAGUAAAAUUGAAGCUGUCUCUGUUCUAGGAUCAGCAAUCUCACUUCUAGGUAUGUUCCCCAGAGAUAUUCUUGCACAUGUGCACGUGUUCAAGGCUAUUUCUUACAGCAUUGCUUGUAACAGGGAACAAUUAGAGACACUCUAACUGUCCAUCUAUCAUGAUACAAUGUAAUAAUAUACAGGAGUUAAAAAGAAUAAACAAGUACCAAGAAUAAAUCUCAACAACACAGUGUUGAGUGAAAAGAGCAAAUUGUGAAAGGAAGCAUAUUAUGUAUUUAUAUAUAUUUAAAAUUUAAAACACAAACCAGUAGUGUAUAUUGCAUUAGAAGACACAUCCCAAGUUUACGAGAGGGGAAGAAUGGAUUAGGUUGGAUCCAGAGGGAACGUCGCUGUAUCUGUAGCAUGUAUUAAAACUAAGCAAUAAAGGACACGAAGCCACCAGGGUAAACUGUAAACGCUUACUGAAUGCUGAUGGCAGGGACAUGACAGCCACAUUCAUCUUUGUGCUUUUUAACAAUUUAAAAAUAUUUACAGAGCAAAUGGCUUUUUCCUGCCAACCUGCCAAAUCCUCCGAUAACUAAUGCUUCCUAAGUCUUCUUCUGCAGGGAGUAAGGAGUUCAGGGUUUUUUCCUUCAGUUUGUGGCUACGGAAAUUGCACAGAGGAAGAAAACUCCCUCUCCGCCAACUUGGCGGCGCAUCCUCCGCGGGAAAGUCUGACUCCCAAUUUUAGUUAUCAAGUCAACUGUCUCCAUCUCAUCUCAGUCCUCAGCAGCUGAAUUCAACGACACGAUUAAGGCUACAGCAUCUUCCCAGAGAAGGCGGUAAGAAGAUGUUGAAAAUGGCAUAAUUACAGUGAUAUAAAAUUUAAUACUUGCACAGGACCAGAACAAAAAAAUGGGAUCGUGCAAAAUAUCCCUGGCAGUAUGGGUACUGUCCCUGCCACCUGCUCUUACCCGCUGUCUGGCUGGAGCAGCACCCAGGAGCUGUGCAGGAGCCCGGUCUGGCUGCGCAGCACCCUUUGAAUGGGCCGCAGUGGGCGCUGCGUGACGACUCGGUGUUUGGGCAGCGGCGAGGCUGACGCCAUAAUGUAUUCAUGCAAACAAAUAUCCACCCCAGCUCUUCCACUGAGCGAGCAUACAUGCCCAGGGAAACGUGGCAGAAGCACAAUGCCUGCCACUGAGGGGUGUAAGGGAAGUUGCUGUCAUCAAAGAAAAGCCACCCGAUUCCCCGGGGCAGCAGAGGGAGCCCAUCCCAAGGGAACCGGGCACAUUUCUGUAGUAAUCGGCACUGACCAUCUGUGAGUUGCUUGUUAUCUGACCCGCGCUUUUGGGGGCCUGGCUGGGUGAAACAGUCAAAGUUUCCACAACCGAGAACGAGUGACUCACGGGGUAGGACCCAUUUGGAGAACUGUGCCUCCCUCAACACUCGCUACCAGAAAAGUGGGAUUAGGGGGUUGGGGGAUCUAAUUAUUUUCUCUUGACUUCGAAGGGAAAGGGAGGCAGGACCCACAAAUGUCCCUCCACACAGCUGUCUCUAAACUGCCACGUUUUGGGAUCUCAAACGCUUAGGUAAAUGGAGCGUGGGGGGCUGGUUAUUUCCUCACCCCAGGACUCUUCUCAGUCACUGACAAGCUUCGGUGCACUAAAGAGUUAACCACAAGCUCACCACAGACUGUCACCCUGAUUAAAAUUAAAGGGUUAUCAGAUUUAGAAAAAGGGGAGGGGAGUGUAGAAAUAGAUUCUUUUUCAUUCUCUGAAAUCUAAAAGCAGCUCUCCCUCAAAUUUUUGAAACCAAUUUCUUGGGACAGAGUCCUAUUUUUAGCAGAAAUACGCUCAACUGGUGAAUCCCACCCACCGUCUUCUGCAAGGAGAGAGAGACUUCUGAGAAAUUGGGCCAUGGAGCCGAGGAGAUUUUCAACUCGACGGAAUUUCCCCUGAGAUUUUUAAAGAAAGACCAGAUAAGUAAGUACAACGCCAAGCAGAAACUCAAGACCAGAAGGGAAAUAGGAAAGAAGGAAAGAGAAAAAGUCAUCGGAAAGGAUGGCGACCCUGGGGAGCAAUGACGCGAAGUGGGCGCCAGGAGGGGCUGGGCACGUUGGCAGCAGCCCUAACUGUGUCCAGCGCGUUAAGCCACGUGUCCAGACCUGCGCCCCUGCCCGGGACCCCCAGUGGCCGGCUCUGCCCUAUCCUCACCCGCACCCACAGUGCCUCUUGUACUCCUUUUCCUUCCCACCCUCGAGAAUUCACACUCAGCUUUAAGCAAGAUGCGAGUUGUACCCACUGUGCAUUUUUGACAGGGCUCAAACCCUUCCCUGGAGAAUCCAAAUGCGAACCGCGGGCUGCCAGCCACCACGAGCGGGACACGUUCACUGAGGUUCCGGGGUUCUGGGUGCUUGGGCUGCUGCCCUGCUCGGCCCGUCCACGGAGAUCUUGCACAGGGACGGGGUUUUGGCACCAUCUAACCUGUAAUCUUAACAUAACCUUCUCCCUGCCUUUCCCUGCUUAACAUAAGGGGUCACUGGGCCGUGUGGACACAACUGACCCAAGGAACAGCUCCCGCACUGGCCGCAUUUCCAGCCCUGCCUGGUGCCGUGCGCAGCCCUGACGCGGUGGAGGCCAGGAGGGAGGCCUGUGCCACGCCAAGCACGCAGGACGAGUGUGAGGGAAAUGAGAGGCUGGCGAAGGCUGGUGUGUCACCCCAGGGGUGUCUCAAGCUACAGCACCCGAGGGAAGCCCAGGAGUCAGCCCAAGGGAGAGUAACUCGGGGAUGGCUCAAAGAGUGGCUUAAAAAGAGAGAUCGAGGCCUUGCCUAAGAAGCCCAGGCGGUUCUGAACAGAGAUGUCACUACCACAACGGCCGGAAGCAGAUGCCACACCGGUGCUCAGCUGGGUUGCAGGCUCUGCCUGGCGUCAGCGCUGGGGAAGCCACCCAGCCCUGCCCGCAGCCUGCAAGAUGUCACGCACGCCGCCCGGCCUCAGCCCCAAAACUCCCGGGAAACUCUCGGAGCGCCGGGGCAGGAAGAGGCUGACAUCAGCUUACACUCUGGGGACUUCAAACAAAACUUUCAGAAAUGAGUCCUAUGCCCUUUACUUGGUAACACGAUAAACGGAUCUUUUUCUGAGAAGAUGAGCCAAUUUGCUUCAACGGGCUCAUUUUCAUGGGGAAAAAAAUACGUACAGAUACGAAUUUUUUUUUUUUUAAAGAAGCACAACUGCUUAGCUUUAGAAAAGACCAUAAUAAUGUAAACUGGACGGAUGAGGUUUCUUCCUCCCUCCCUGCCUUCCUUCCUUUCUUGGGAAGGUCGUGGACGUCUAGGAUUGGGGAAUGGUUCCCACGCAGCGGGGCAGCCCUGGUAUAAAGGGUGCGUCUAAGAUACUUGGGGGCAGGAGGCGCGAUCAAACCACUUGUUAUUAAAGGAAUUUAAAUACUCCCACUUGAAAUGCUCCCGUUUUCUCUGUAAAGGAAUUUCUUGAGCAAGACAAAACGUCCCAUCUUCUGUGUAUAUUAUUCUAAAUUCAAAAUUAGUGGUGUCUGAUUUUAAUAAUUGUCACAGUUAAGGAUGACAAAACAAUGCUCUUCACUCUGCUUUCUGCUCCAGUUGUUGCUGUAAACGAGAGGCGGUGCCUGACCUCACAUGUGCCGGGUCGUGUGGGAACAACGAACGUCCAUCUGUGUGUUCAACGGACUCUUUCUUUAGACGUGUGUCUCAGCACCAAGCUUUGUCCCAGUUGCCCAGCAGGAGUGCUGGGGGAAGAGGGUGCUACGGAAGAGGAAAGUCACAGGAGAAUAAAAGAAAAUUUCUUGAGGAAUCUACUCGUCGGUGUCCAGUUAACCCCCAAAUAUCAUGCCACUUUAUCCAUCCAGACCUAACUGUCAAGGCCUGUGAGAGAGAAGAGAACCCAACAGCAUCCCAAGCCGUCUAUACCGAUUGGGGCACCGAGGCCUGACAUGAGGCCCCUGUAGGUCAGGGCAAGAGUGGAACCCAAAAUCCAGCUCCCUUCUUGGAACUGUCUACUUGGGUGACCCUCUGGUUCUUUGGCUGGGGAGAGCAGAAUUCCAAGAAUUCCAGAGGCACCCAUGGACUCUUACCUGCCUUGCUGCCAGGUACCAUGAUGAAUG